UACGUAGGGGGCAAGCGUUGUCCGGAUUUAUUGGGCGUAAAGAGCGUGUAGGCGGCCAGGUAGGUCCGUUGUGAAAACUCGAGGCUCAACCUCGAGACGUCGAUGGAAACCAUCUGGCUAGAGUCCGGAAGAGGAGAGUGGAAUUCCUGGUGUAGCGGUGAAAUGCGCAGAUAUCAGGAAGAACACCCGUGGCUAAGGCGGCUCUCUAGUACGGUACUGACGCUGAGACGCGAAAGCGUGGGGAGCGAACAGG
rnacentral:rRNA from 1 species